GAACAGGCGGGACCGGAGGCGCUGCCUCUCCGUGUUCACAGCGGACCUUGAUUUAAUGUCAUACAAUUAAGGCACGCGGUGAAUGCCAAGAGCGGGGCUGGAAGGCGACGAGGAGCCAC
rnacentral:pre_miRNA from 11 species